rnacentral:rRNA from 1 species
UUGGGAAUAUUGGACAAUGGAGGAAACUCUGAUCCAGUGACGCCGCGUGAAGGAAGAAGGUCUUCGGAUUGUAAACUUAUUUUAUCAGGGAAGAAGAAAGUGACAGUACCUGAAGAAAAAGGACCGGCAAACUACGUGCCAGCAGCCGCGGUAAUACGUAGGGUCCAAGCGUUAUCCGGAUUUACUGGGUGUAAAGGGCGAGUAGACGGCGCUGUAAGUCAGCUGUGAAAACUUAGGGCUCAACCUUAAGCCUGCAGCUGAAACUGUAGUGCUAGAGUACAGGAGAGGUAAGCGGAAUUCCCGGUGUAGCGGUGGAAUGCGUAGAUAUCGGGAGGAACACCAGUGGCGAAGGCGACCUACUGGGCACCAACUGACGCUGAGGCUCGAAAGCGUGGGUAGCAAACAGGAUUAGAUACCCUGGUAGUCCAUGCCGUAAACGAUGAUUACUAGGUGUUGGAGGAUUGACCCCUUCAGUGCCGCAGUUAACACAAUAAGUAAUCCACCUGGGGAGUACGACCGCAAGGUUGAAACUCAAAGGAAUUGACGGGGGCCCGCACAAGCAGUGGAGUAUGUGGUUUAAUUCGAAGCAACGCGAAGAACCUUACCAGGUCUUGACAUCCGAUGCAUAGUGCAGAGAUGCAUGAAGUCCUUCGGGACAUCGAGACAGGUGGUGCAUGGUUGUCGUCAGCUCGUGUCGUGAGAUGUUGGGUUAAGUCCCGCAACGAGCGCAACCCUUAUUGCCAGUUACUACGCAAGAGGACUCUGGCGAGACUGCCGUUGACAAAACGGAGGAAGGUGGGGAUGACGUCAAAUCAUCAUGCCCUUUAUGACCUGGGCUACACACGUACUACAAUGGCGUUUAACAAAGAGAAGCAAGACCGCGAGGUGGAGCAAAACUCAAAAACAACGUCUCAGUUCAGAUUGCAGGCUGCAACUCGCCUGCAUGAAGUCGGAAUUGCUAGUAAUCGCGGAUCAGCAUGCCGCGGUGAAUACGUUCCC